rnacentral:rRNA from 1 species
UCAGAUUGAACGCUGGCGGCAGGCCUAACACAUGCAAGUCGAACGGUAACAGGAAGAAGCUUGCUCUUGCUGACGAGUGGCGGACGGGUGAGUAAUGUCUGGGAAACUGCCUGAUGGAGGGGGAUAACUACUGGAAACGGUAGCUAAUACCGCAUAACGUCGCAAGACCAAAGAGGGGGACCUUCGGGCCUCUUGCCAUCGGAUGUGCCCAGAUGGGAUUAGCUUGGUUGGUGGGGUAACGGCUCACCAAGGCGACGAUCCCUAGCUGGUCUGAGAGGAUGACCAGCCACACUGGAACUGAGACACGGUCCAGACUCCUACGGGAGGCAGCAGUGGGGAAUAUUGCACAAUGGGCGCAAGCCUGAUGCAGCCAUGCCGCCGUGUAUGAAGAAGGCCUUCGGGUUGUAAAGUACUUUCAGCGGGGAGGAAGGGAGUAAAGUUAAUACCUUUGCUCAUUGACGUUACCCGCAGAAGAAGCACCGGCUAACUCCGUGCCAGCAGCCGC